AACGAACGCUGGCGGCGUGUCUUAAGCAUGCAAGUCGUGCGGCAAGGGUAGCAAUACCCCUAGAGCGGCGGACUGGUGAGUAACGCGUGGGUGAUCUGCCCUUGGGAUGGGGAUAGCCACUAGAAAUAGUGGGUAAUACCGAAUACGUUCCCCCGACUAUGGUUGGGGGAGGAAAAGCGCUUCGGCGCUGCCCGAGGAUGAGCCCGCGUCCCAUUAGCUGGUUGGUGAGGUAAAGGCCCACCAAGGCGAUGAUGGGUAGGCGGCCUGAGGGGGUGUACGCCCACACUGGGGACUGAGAUACGGCCCAGACUCCUACGGGAGGCAGCAGCUAAGAAUAUUCCGCAAUGGACGAAAGUCUGACGGAGCGACGCCGCGUGGAUGAAGAAGGCCGAAAGGUUGUAAAAUCCUUUUGUUGGGGAAGAAUAACCAUGGGAGGGAAUGCCCGUGGAUGACAUGAACCGACGAAUAAGUCCCGGCUAACUACGUG
rnacentral:rRNA from 1 species